UGCAAGGGGGGAAAGGGGGGUUGGGCACGUCGCAAUCCUUAACAUCAUCAGCAUUGAGGCAGGUUUCAGGACAUCCGGCCAAGAGCCAUCGCCACGGAUAGCUGCUUCAAUUCGGUAGGUCCCAUUGGCGGACGGACAGCCGAGGUAGUCCCGUAUCAUUUGGGUCCAGCUUGCAGCCAUAGCUUGGACGUACGGCUGAAGCUUUUCACCAUCCGCAUCAGAGGCGAAAGUGAGGCACACAGCCUUGUCACUUGACAAGGCUGCCGUCACAAUACGGUUCUAGUGAUAGCACCCUUGCACCAUAUCUAUCCACUUGUUUGUUAACUCGUCCAACAUGAAAUUUGCCCAGGUACGAAACUGAUUGACAGGAAUAACGUCAUUAAUUGUAGCUUAGAUGCGGCAGGAGCAAAGCGAGUAUAGCCUCUAAGCUAGGUUAUGUACGGCAGCCGUAUGGCUUGCUGAGAAUUCGAAUUUACUAUUUCAGCUGACAGCUCCAUAGUUCCGGCAUUCUGCCUACACUAUUGGAGCUUAUUAUUAUUGUUGCUCUCACUUUUUUCCAAGACCUUACCGACUACCCUCAAGCCUCAUCGACGCUCUACCACAACGAAUCGACAUCGCCGCGGACCUGUCACUCUCCGAGGAACAACCAGGAGCUCCGUCACAAAUCAAAAAAUGACGGGUAAGAGGACAAAGGCAACGGGAGAUAACCUGGUCAACGCAGGAGUGGCCGAAGCAGCCGGCGAAGGGGGAUCGGGGCCAGAUGCUGCCAGCCAACCAAAACGACAUAGAAGCCGCCAGGGAUACUUUGAGCGGGAACAUAGACCAGCCGACUCUUCACCAGCUGCUGCUGGGCGUCCUGUCAGCAGCGCAGGCCAACGCCCCAAAAGCGCCAGCCAGGGAUCCCCGGACAGCACCGCCUCGGGAUCGCUCUCCUGACGUUGUCAUCACAAAAGACGUGACCAUCAUGCCAUCUGCAAGAGAGCAGCUAGCAGCAAUAAGGACGGAAGUUCAAGCGAAUGACGCACCGAAGCUGACAGCCCCACACGAGCAGCGGGAGCAGCUCGACGAAGGAACGCUAAUGCUGCUAGAGACCGCCAUCACCGCGCUGGAUGCGAACGAACCCCAGCUGGCCGUCGCGGGAGAAUGCCUCAAGAUCGCUCACCUCCGCCUUAAGUGCUACUCCGUUGCUCUGGCCAAGGCGGGCCCAGGAGCCAACGGUAAUUUCACGGCCCCCUACGAAAUCUGGCACGGCAGGCGGCGCAACUUCACCAAGCCCGAGUUCAAACCAGAGGCCAUAGAUAAGGGCGACAUAGAGAGUGCAUUAGCUAAAACGCGCAAGUCGGUGGCGGCGGACAGGGACGGUCAGGCCGGGUCCCUCUGGCGAGGGAGAGACCGGCAGGGUGGAGUGCGGGAUUCGUUUGGUAGUGCACGCCGGAACGACCGCAGCCGCUAUGACCGCUAUGACCGGCGCAGCCAGCAUGACCGAAGCCGCUCUCGCAGCCCGGCUAAGCGUGGCUGAUUAGGAUUCUGUUGGGCUUUGUGUUUGCUUGACUCUGGCACUGCACCGAUCCUACCCCCCUCCUUUUUUCUUAAGCUCGCUCAGUGGCCCCUCCGUGCAGUUCGCGGUCGUUGUUGUUGCAGGGGCCCACAAGUCCGACAAACAUUAUUGGGUUGGAACGGAGUAUGCUUUGGCCCAGUCUUUGACAAGACUUGUUAUGCUAAGUUGCACAUCCGGUCUCUUCCAGACCUUCCACCGCUAGAAGAUGUCGGACCAAGUUGUACCCUGGAGGGAGGUUUCUUUGUAACGCGCGCGAGCUCUUGCCCUUGGUGGCGCCUGUGAUUGGCCUUGGGGCCUUAUUGCCGUGUUGGCUCGGUCCUGUUGACCAUGGCGGCUUCCAGGCCCAGGUGGCCGGCUUCAGGCUGGACCUGUCCUUCCUCCGUCCGAGUUUCCCUCUUCAUGCAUGUACCCAACAACGACAGAGAGGCAUCAAACAGGUUGAUGGCUCUGGUGGCCCCGUCCCCUGCGGUGCAGGUCGCCCCUGAGUAUCCUGUUCGGUUUUUUCUGUCAUCCCAGGAGGGGCGGCUUCCCACCGUUUCGUAGCCUCAGUCGCCAUGAGCCCCGGCCUCUACUCAUCUCCCCCUCUUUUAUCUUUGGCUCCUGAAAAGCGAAAAAUUGGCCGCCACAAAACUGGGCGCCCUGUUCGCCGCCCCGGGGUUUUAAAACCCCUCGCCCCGCGCAGCCCCCCCCUGCCCAACGAGACAACACACAAGUGGAGACCAAGAACACCGCCAAGCGUCCCGCACCCGGCCCUGCAGAGCCCACCCGGCCCCGGACCAAGGUCGCCCGCCAAGCCCAGGAACCACAUCCAGACCCAGGAGCCCCUUCGAGGAAUGAACAAGCGGUCCCAGAAGGUGAGAACCCAGCACCUUUGCCUGUUGAUCCGCCUUGUGAAGCCACACCUCCUAGCAUGGGUAGCAAGGAUAGGCCUAAGAUGCGGGGGCGUUUGAGAGCCUGUGCCGCGGUCUGGAAGGCGACAGUGGUGAACCAGCUCGUGCUGAGCUGGGUCCUGCAAGGGUUCCCUCUGAUGUGGCACUCAGGACCUCCCCCCCGGCCGUACUGGGGCAAGAAUCACCAAUCUGCACGGGACCACGGGGAUUUUGUGUCUUCUGCCAUCGAGGGUUUGCUGGAGUCAGAGACCAUCAAACCUUGCCAGUCCCGCCCUUUCAUGACCUGUCCUUUGGGCGUCGUAGAGCAGAAAGGCAAGCUCCGCCUCAUCUGGGAUGGACGCGAAGUCAAUAAGCACCUGCACAUCCCGGAGUUCCGUUAUGAGUCGCUUGCGCAGGUCCCAGGCUGGCUAGGCCCCAAGGACUACAUGUUCACCCUGGACCUGAAGUCUGGCUACCACCAUAUGGACGUACGCGAAGCAGACUGGCGCUACCUUGGUUUUGAAUGGCAAGGCCAGUUCUACGUCUUUACACAACUCCCUUUCGGCCUUGCCUCCACCUGUUGGGCAUUCACCAAGCUAACACGCGAGAUCAUGCGGACUUGGAGACGGAAGGGCUGGCGGUGCUCAGGAUGCAUUGAUGAUCAGAUCCACGCCCACCAGGACGCCCAGACCCUCAUCGCCCGCCGCACCAUAAUCCUCGACCUCCUUGAGCGCCUGGGGUUCUGCGUGAACCGUGACAAGUCAAUGAUGGGCGAGCCCCAGCAGCAAGUGAGGUACCUGGGUAUGCUGUUAGAUACAGCUAAGGGCGUGUACAUUGUGCCUGAAGAUAAGCGCACUUUCCUGCUCGACUGCAUCCGCUCGGCUCUGGGAAAACGGCGCAUCAAGGCGAGACAAUUGGCCUCCAUAAAAGGGCAGCUUCUGUCCAUGUCCUGGGCGUUCGGGCAAGUAGCCCGCCUUUACACCCGGGCUCUGGGGCAGGAUAUUGAGUCGCGCCACACCUGGGAUACCCACAUCCGCUUAUCUAACGACACAACUGCAGAGCUCGAAUUCUGGCUGCGCUGUUUCGACCGGUUUAACGGAACCCGUGCCCUCUGGGAGCCAGUACCGAAACCCGGCUGCGAGAUGGGCAGGAGGCUGGGGCCUGCAAAACGCGACCGACCUCCCCCCGUUGCCUUCUCGCCUCGACCCGCUUGCUAGCUGCUAGUAACAACUGUCGCUCUUCCGUUGUGUCACAGCAGUCCGGGAGGUCUAAGAACUAAAAGCCACUAGCAUUGCCUUACGCAGGCGCUUGUUAAGGUCCACGCACAGCUUCUCACCCUCCACAAGAGCAUCGUUCGUGGCCUUUUCUAGCUCCUCCAGCUGUUCGGGUAGGGUGUCGUCUCAUCAUGCAUUGUGCUCAUUCCCAAGUUGGCGGUUUACUUUCUGGAAGGCAUGGUAGACCUGUUUAAGCUCCUGAUUCUCGCGCUUUAGGGCCUUCUGCUUCUUGCCGACUUUGUUGAUCCAGCCGUCGCCCACAAAGUCCAGGUCCUUUAAUGGGCGUUCGGCAAUGCGGCCGUGGCCAGGAUCUUAGCGGUAGUUCGAUUGCUGAUUCCACAUUUGCAAGGGCUGCUUCAGCGGCCGCCAGCUGCUGUCGCGUCGACAAAUAAAUAUCAUACGCUUAACUAACGGCCCUUGUAAACGUUUUCUUGUCCGUUCAUGCAAGCGGGUUGUUGGUGAGCAUGGUCAACGCUUGUUUGACCGUCUCCGAUUCCUCUAAAGCGGACAGACAGUUGCGCAGUUAGCGCAUCUAUAUCCGUUUGCAGGCAUGCGAGCCGGUCACCUAAAUUUCGUUUUGUUUGCGGUCAUCAUGCAGACAUCGCCCAACAUGGCGAUUGCAACAAGUUCUACUGCGAACAGGAAAGCCAUGGUUACGGAGCGACUCUGUCGCUGAACGCUGUAGAUUAGGGCAGAAGCCGCAGCGGAAACCUGUCAGUAUUCUGACACUGAGAACUCGCGAGAUUACUCUUAACGUCGCACUCCUGCGACUUACUCUAGCCCUGUACGGCACAGCCGUACGUACGAACGACAUUCAACCGAGUACACUCUCGGCAAAUACACAAAAAACCUUGGUUUUCUUUCGUUUCACUCAGAAAACCUAUAGUUAAUGCAGGCGAUGAACCGUUGGUUUGUCCAGUAGUGCAGCCCGAGGUAGCGUGCAGUUUCAUGUGGCAGUAUACUGUACAUGUACGUACAUGCAACAUCUCCCCACCCAGUGCAAGUUGCUUAAGAUGUGUUGCUACGUAAUUCGACCACCAUUGAGAACGUUUGCAGGCUUUGUGGUAAAAUUGUUUCAUAGAUAUUUGAGUAAAUCUGGGGGAUAUGUAUUAAUUGGGAGUUGUGUUAAGAAGUUACAGGCUUGUGCGAAUGUGCUAGGGGAAAUGAUGGGCCCCGGGGUUGCAGUAGCCAGUAGUGUCGUCGAGAGUGUAUUCAGCAGCAUGGAUAUGAACCACACAUUCUCGCCGACACAAUACACAGCAAUAAAGCGCAAAUAGAGCACAAGUGCGCUGCUGUGACUGGCCAAUCAUUAAUGCGUAAGGCAGGCAGCACUCAAACAUCACGACAUUAUCGAUAAAAACUCACUGCGCUGUACUCCGAGAAAAUAUUAAUAGUUUCUCCACACUACACAUUCCUGAUCAGCUAAAGCAAUCGUGAAUUAAGUUAAAACAAUACAAUGAGUGUGACGAUGAAGGCCUAGGGCUACGUGCAAUGCCGCAUACUCACGAGGUGUCUGAUCAUAAAAGUAGCUCCUACACAACUAUCCAGGCACAUGUGCAUGCACAAGUGGACCUUCGAGUAACGGGUGCACAACGCAGCAAUCAUGAAGCGACAGCACAAUAAUGAACCAUUCUAAUUUUGCCGCAAGCCGUGCAUGCGUGCUCCAGCAUGCACGGAAUCAGCAAGAUGAUACGCACGUCAAGCUGCUGUAUCAACCGCUGGGUGCAUGCAUGCGCCAACAGCAGCAGUAGCCCUGAUGCAAAGAAUACCCACGCACAUGCAGGGCGCCUUCAUGGACAUGUCUUGUUGUAUCCUGGCACACCGAAAAGCACGGUCCUGCUGACCAUAAAUACAUAUUCUUUACCGAACCAAGAACCGAUUGAAGCAGUCCCUAAACUCUUGCCCCCAUGAACAAUCGAGGCAUUCCGUUAGUAAACGUUUUCAUCACCGAUAGGCAACACCCUCGUAUAAUAGGUAGGGACCGUCGUCUGAAGAUGAUCAAUCAUUUUACUAACGUAUCUGCACAAAGAACGUUGGAAACUAGAAAAAAGACGCUUAGAUGCACGAACUGCCGUUAACCUUUUGGGACAAAACAAAUCCACUAGCGUGUCUGCGGUUAACAUCGCAGGACUGCGAGACUGCUGCGUAAGAUGUUAACAACAGCACAGGCUCAGGUCUCAGAUCGAAGCCGCCGAAACUACAGGGCAGCACUUGUUAUCCGGACUGAAAAGGCUCAUCCUGCAAUUAGUGCGGGGAUGCAAGAAGCAGCAGAAACAGCGCAGAGGCGGAAUGAGAAACGUACAAAAGACAGUCAUGAAAAGGAAUGCCUCUCACGCAUGUUUAGGCAGGCAAAGUUAUAAAGCGCAUCGAUUUUCCUUCUGGCUUGCUCACCCAUGGCUGCCACCUGGCACUCAGGGCGAGAAUGCGCUUUGGCAAUCUGUACUGCUGAUAAAAUAUCAAAAACGAAAAAGACAAUGGCUUCCAAAGAAAGCGACUCACCAGCAAACCUUGCGGCUGCUGUUCGUGAGGCAGAAGCUGCUCAAGUCAACGUUCUGAUUAAACUCGAGGCAGACCUUGCCACCAUCUGCCUGAGCCUUGGACCAUCUCAGCGGGGUGACCUUGAACGUCUGCUCGCCCACUGCAGCCCAGCUAGGGGCAAUGUAGCGAAAUGUGUCGGCGUCGGAGGGGCGGACAUAGACGCCUAGAACGCUGCGGCGCAUUGUUUCAUUCGCCCAGAACUCAAUCUUCGCCAACGUGUCCGAGCUGCCGCAACGGCUCUGCAUCAUGUACAUGUAAGGGUGGUGUCGGACUGUCAGAAGACACAAGAGCACUUGUUUGCCGCAUGUACAUAAACACCAGCAGGACACGUCAAGUAAUUCAGCCAAGAGAAACAGGUCAUAAACGUUACCGACUAUACCACAUUUGCACCACAAGGAAAUCGACUCACGUUCGGAUCAUUUGGCUGCACAACAGCGGUACGGAAACAGUACUGCACCCUGUCCUUCUUAGUUCCUGGGACAGUCUCCGUGUACGGCAGAAGUGCGAAAGGAGUAGCGCCGACUGUGGUUGUGCAGCUGCGGUAUUGAUAACAGUGAAAGUGGAGAGGCGGAUGGGACAGUCAAAUAGGUCCAAAAGGGGGGAAGGUCCAACACAUUUGCAGGUUGGCCUAGUCCGUUGGCACACACAGCUCAAAUGCCCUCUGCUCGGUUUGCCUUUACGACGCUUCGCAAACCGGGUACAGAACUGAUACGACAGAGGCACACAGACAGACAGACAGACAGACAGACAUACGAGUACAUUUACGCACUUGUCUUACUUGCAAGGAGGGAACCUGAUGGGAAGUGGUUUGCAAUUCCUCGAGGCUUCAGCAUUCAGGCAUUUGCUCGCUGGAGCAUCUGGCCAUGUGCCGUCACCGCGGAUCGAUACCACGACAUUGAAGGGGCUGAACUCUGAGGGGCAGCCGAUACUAUCCAGGAGGAAUCCGGCCCAAGUAUCAGCCAUAGUCAGGGCGUACGGCUCAAGCUUUUCAGCAUCCGCAUUGGAGGCGAAGGUGAGGCACACCUUGACAAGGCUGCCCUCGCAAUACGGUUCCGGGUUAAGUGGCGACAGCAACCUGGCACCCACACCUUCCGCUUGGUGCAAUAAAUUCGUCGACAACCUUAUUGGCUAAGGCACGACACUGAUCGACAGGAAUGUUAAGGCUGAAAACUGAAUUCAGAGGUUGAAUGUAGAGAUAGGUGCAGACCACGCAGGGCGGCACAGGCGAAGGGGAGGGUGUAGGAGGCAAAGGCGACGGUGGGGUGGGCGGAGAUGGAGGCAAGGGAGAGGGUGGGGUGGGCGGGGACGGAGGCUUGGGCGAUGGCGGCGCGGGCGGGGAUGGCGGCUUGGGCGAGGGUGGAGUGGGCGGAGACGGGGGCGAGGGAUAAGGUGGAGUGGGCGGGGACGGAGGCUUGGGCGAUGGUGGGGUGGGCGGAGACGGAGGCUUGGGCGAGGGUGGGGUCGGCGGAGACGGAGGCUUGGGCGAGGGUGGGGUCGGCGGAGACGGAGGCUUGGGCGAGGGCGGAGUGGGCGGGGAUGGCGGCAAGGGCGAGGGUGGAGUGGGCGGUAGCCGUGGAGGGGCCUUGCAGCAUUGGAUGCUCUUGUCGAAGAGGGCGGUCUGACAGACGCCGGGAGCACCGUUCGGCGGGGGCAAGCAGAAUUCAUUCAAAAUAGUGCAACCUUUACGUCCCUUGCUGCUCUUCAAGAAAAGGCAAAUCUCAGCUCCAUUGCUGCUAGUAUUCAGGCCCAGAUUGUUAAUGAACAGAACUUGAGUACCGGGGGGAGCCGGAGGACUGGCGGGGAAGUGGAAAUCUGGCUUCUGAAGGGAGAAAUUCCCGUUGAUGGUUGCCUUGAUAUCCAGGGACCACUUGUCGCAUGCAGGAUUGACGUUGAACUGCAGGCAAGGGAAUGGCGAUCAGGCAUCACGAAUCGAUUUGUUCGGGUUAUCAAAUGUUAUCGUGAAGAGAGGAGAAGGAAGUAAACCCACAUCGUACCCCGAUCUGUAUGACGAGUUUGCUUUGAAUCUCAUCCCGCUCCUCUUUCAUCCUGACUCACCUCGAUCUUGUAGAGUCCCGCCCGAGCGCAGGCCUCGGUGCUGCUGCUAGUGUCCACAAGAAGCGUGAAGCAGUAUUUGCCAUUGCCAUAGUCCUUAGGUGGCGAUAAGGAAUACGGGAAACCGGAAGGGGGGCAAUUGCAGAAUGGGAAGACCUUGUACUUCAUCGACACUAAAUCCUGCGCGUUGGCGGCCCUGCGAAGCAACAAAGCAAGUGACAGAUGUCAUUCCCCAUGUUAUCCUUGUAUAAUUUUCAGAUAGAGACAUUUAAGGCAAUUGAUAGAGCGAUACAGCUAACAGUAGCGAAGCUUCAAUGAUCAGCUGCAUAGCCAUCAGUCAGUAGUAAGCACCUCCACACAUGGAGAGCAAACAGGUUUAUACUGUUUAGAUGUUGGCCUGCUUUAUGACCUUAAAGCGCCACACAAAUGUCGCAUGUCCUCACAGACGAUUAGUAGGCUCACUACUCACGCGAAUGCGGCCGCCACGAGAACAAGUCCAUGCAGAACUGAAAUCAUCCUCUUAAUCAGUUAGCCAGAUUCUCGCGAUUAUAUAUAAGUCCGUAUGCAGCGAAUCCAUUGGCCGACGAUACGGCAAUCAUUUCGGACGGCGCGAUCUUUGUCGUAAACAAUGCUGGUGCAUCCUCAAUUUAUAGAGCCAAUUAUUUUUUAAUUUUAUUUGCUUUUAAUUCUCAUUGACACGCUCGGUUAUGUUCACAACCCUACCUGCACCCGUUAAGUCAUGUACAUGUAUGACGGACAUGCAGCUACCUACCUCACUGAAACCCUUAUACUUAUAUUGUUUUUAUUGCAAAAGAAACGAAAAUAACAAUUAUUUGCAGUCCAUUCGGUAAGGUGUCUUUGAGGUUUUGUCGGCCUACGAGUUCGCAAAUACGUUUGGUUUUGAAUUGAAUUGUCAACGAAAGCUCCGAGCUACCGUCUUGGGAUUACAUGGACAGUUGCUCGCCAUGUACACGAAGCCUCUAUUUAUAAAUUUCGCAUUGCCCUUUCGACCCGGCACUACUAGUACCGCUCGAUGUAUGAGCAUUCGGUGAUGAGCUCCGACCGCGGCAACUGUGGCCAUGGGUGCCUAGGGAACGGGAGCCAAGGAAGAUUUACGUGAGCAUUACUGUAAUUAAGUAAUGCUUUAGUGCGUAGGAACCAUUCUGAUUCAUUCAUAUCGACAUGACAGCGGUAUUUGUGGUUGAACUUCAUGUCAGCCAGCUGAAUCACGGUAUUCAAGAGCUUCCGUGCCCAGCCGAGCCGUGGAGGGUCCUGAGUGAUCCGGCUAUGGAGUGCCGGCUCUGGUAGUCGGUGACUAUUAGGGGCCCCCGUGAUUGUCAAGCUGUCCUAUCACCACAGCCUUUAACAUGGCGCCCCCUUUUUUUUAGGUUGUUCUUGGGUUGUUCCCUUAGGAGUGCAAGGCAGGGGCAUGCCUCCCGUUGCUGGGUGCUCUCCGAGAGCAAUGGUACAACCGGGGUUUGCCUGCUGCGGGUACCUUGCAGAAGCAUUAUUAGCUAUUACGGUGUUAUAGGUUAUGUGGUCAGCAUAGUAGAUCUAUUAGGAUCCCCUACAUCAGUUGUCAUGCAUGCAUGCAUUCACGGUGACCGCGUUUGUGAUGGAUGCGCAACUUUUUAUUCUGCGAUUAUAACUAUUUCAUAAAAUUUUCCUGCUUGUCAUCAUGGCGGGUUCUGGGCUAGGAUAAAUACGCUUUGCACAGGUUCAGAUGCAGUACCUGCGCUGAAGCGGCCAGCUUGGGGACUCGGCGGCUUUUUUAUUGUUUGUGGCUUUUAAGUCAGCCUGACGUUUCACCCUUUAUAGCCCGCAGGGCGACAAUUAGCUCCUUCACGCAUAUAAUUUUAUCCAUAGCUCCAUCCACAAGCGGACGACACAACACCGCCGGACCUCUUACAGCCUCUUUUCUUAAAAUAACUAGCCUUCAUGGCAGCUCGCACAUUGAAGUGCGAUUUCGCCAUCGAUUACCUUUUCAGGAGUUACAUAUUAAAGACUACAUCGUAGCCAUUUAUUGUGCGGCUACAUCAAGUACAUUACCUUUUAUGAUUUGAUUUGGAGGCUCCGCAUAAAAACCACAGUAUAAUAUAAAGAUUUUCGGAAAAGCAUGCAAAGAUUUGUACCACACAGCUUCAUGUUCCCGUACUUCUCUAGCUUCUCAGCACUUCGCCUCCGUAAUCCUCCAUUGAGAUAGCUCAGCCUAAAUUUGGUAUCCCUUAUUAGCGCGCUACAGUAAAACUUUGUGAAUUCUGCGAUACAACUGGUGGGUUUGUUAGUUUGCGCCACUUCGCGCUCAAUCCGCAUCGAUUGCAUCGAUUGCACGACAUUCGACUGGACUCUACUUGCUGCUGUAUACAAGCGACUGAAUUUGAAAAUUUUAACAGCAUGUAAAACUGGUCCCCUGCUUCGUAACCUUACAUGAAGAGAUUUUCUGCUGCUAUGCUGCGGAUUACCUGUCCCAUCCGGCGGGAACUUACACACACCAUUCGUCGUUUAGCCUUUUGGUUGCUAUCUUUGCCUUCUUGUUCCUAUCUUCCAUUUGUAGUUUUAGCCUGUGGUUUAGCCUUUGUACUAAGGACACCUUCGUCGGGAAUACCAACGUUGGUACGUAGCGGUAAAAAAUAAACCGUCAACGGUCUGUCGUUCUCUUCCGCGGCUUGCGAACGCCUCCAAGCGCCUCUGGAUCGCGCUCACCAAAAUAUAGCUUAGUUACUAAGAUAACUUCUACAGCAUGGCGUCUCUUUCUUGGGCAUUGCAAGAGCUUAGGCUUUGGGCCCAAGCACCUGAUGUUGGCCCACAGGGAGUACGCCGCCGCAUGGAAACCUGAACUCUGACUUAUAAGUGCUGGGACGCAAGUGGAGCCUGCAUGGAUACCCCUAUCUGUAUUUACCUUCCCUCUGUGCUCUAACCUAGGUGGGAGACAUGAUGCUCUUCAAAUCCUCUUCGCAAAUGCUCCACCAGGCCCCCGACCUAAAGUGUUUUUACCUGCUCGCCUAGAACCUGGCGUCGACUUACACCCCGCGCCCUAGUUUACACCUGAGAACAGUUGAACUGCUAUUAUUUAAUAUACUCGCCUCUGACCGUGCAAGCGCCAGACCGGCUACAUGAGUCUGCCUCAUCAUGACCACUGCUGCGCGCUUGCAUGUGCCCAUGCAAUUAAAUUAUCGAAGAGGUCCAUCGUUUCAUCUGUCACCCGAGAGUCCAGUGAGCUGUAAGCUGAGCGAAACCAUUUCCCUCUUCGCCGGCCAAUCUAGAGUUCUGUUGGAGUAAUAACCACUCGCCCCACUGUCAUGACCGCCAUGCAUGCUCUGUGGUGAGGCUAUCCACAUGGAUCACAAGGCAACGCUGGGGUUGGGAAAGGCGGGGUUCAAAUAAGGAUUUCAGAACGACGUAUUCUCAGGAAGUACGUCUCUUUUGAUUUAAACCUUCUCCGCAUAUUCGAACAUAUCCCUGUUGCUUUGACUUUUAAGCAUUAAAUAAUACCACAGCAGUGGAGUAUACGUACAUUGAUCUCACAUUACAAGGCAACUUUCCAGCAGAUAACUCCCCAUAUCUCCUCACAUACGAGUUAACUCUCAGCCCAAAUCUUACACACAUCACCGUACACAACAUUCUUAUCCCUCCUGGAGUGACAACAGGAUCGCAGCUAUCGACAGAGCCAUUUACCGCUCUAAAUUGCCGUUGUCCACGCAUGCUUGCUCCAGCAUGUACGAAGAGAACGGUCUUUUAGAUGCAUGUAUAAAUACACAUGUUCACCAUCAGCACCGACAGCAGCCCAAUCACAGAGACAUGAGGGCAGCAGGCUUGUGACGUGUAACGACGUUUCCUCCUGCAAAGUGAAAAGUGCAGACUGGCCCAUCAUAAUUAACGAUUAGCCACCUCGAGCCAAGAGUCGAGCCCCGAAACCCAUAGAGAAACAUAUAAACCCGAAACGAGCCCAAGAGCAACGAAGACGGAAAAUGUACGAAGAACAUCGAGAAAUAGUAAUGAUAAAGAUAUGAAGGCUCCGAGGUGCACCAGAUGCAGUUGUUAAGUUUGCAGAAGAAGACAAAAAACCUUCGCGAGUCUGUGCAGGACUGUGACGAUGUUAUCAAAGCCGCUCUAAUCCACAAGGGGUUCAUAGAGGUAGGAGAUGCCUCACGUAGGAUGACUCGAAGAUCUCAGAUCGAAGCCGCCAAGAAUAAAGGACAGCACUUGUUAUCCGGGCUGAAAAGGCUCAUCCUGCAAUUGGUGCGGGGAUGCAAGAAGCAGCAGAAACAGCGCAGAGGCGGAAUGAGAAACGUACAAAAGACAGUCAUGAAAAGGAAUGCCCGUCUCAUCUCACGGCAUGCUUAGGCAGUUAUGGAAAGCGCAACGAUUUUCCUUCUGGCUUGCUCACCCAUGGCUGCCACCUGGCACUCAGGGCGAGAAUGCGCUUUGGCAAUCUGUACUGCUGAUAAAAUAUCAAAAACGAAAAAGACAAUGGCUUCCAAAGAAAGCGACUCACCAGCAAACCUUGCGGCUGCUGUUCGUGAGGCAGAAGCUGCUCAAGUCAACGUUCUGAUUAAACUCGAGGCAGACCUUGCCACCAUCUGCCUGAGCCUUGGACCACCUCAGCGGGGUGACCUUGAACGUCUGCUCGCCCACUGCAGCCCAGCUAGGGGCAAUGUAGCGAAAUGUGUCGGCGUCGGAGGGGCGGACAUAGACGCCUAGAACGCUGCGGCGCAUUGUUUCAUUCGCCCAGAACUCAAUCUUCGCCAACGUGUCCGAGCUGCCGCAACGGCUCUGCAUCAUGUACAUAUGAGGGUGGUGUCGGACUUUCAGAAGACACAAGAGCACUUGUUUGCCGCAUGUACAUAAACACCAGCAGGACACGUCAAGUAAUUCAGCCAAGAGAAACAGGUCAUAAACGUUACCGACUAUACCACAUUUGCACCACAAGGAAAUCGACUCACGUUCGGAUCAUUUGGCUGCACAACAGCGGUACGGAAACAGUACUGCACCCUGUCCUUCUUAGUUCCUGGGACAGUCUCCGUGUACGGCAGAAGUGCGAAAGGAGUAGCGCCGACUGUGGUUGUGCAGCUGCGGUAUUGAUAACAGUGAAAGUGGAGAGGCGGAUGGGACAGUCAAAUAGGUCCAAAAGGGGGGAAGGUCCAACACAUUUGCAGGUUGGCCUAGUCCGUUGGCACACACAGCUCAAAUGCCCUCUGCUCGGUUUGCCUUUACGACGCUUCGCAAACCGGGUACAGAACUGAUACGACAGAGGCACACAGACAGACAGACAGACAGACAGACAUACGAGUACAUUUACGCACUUGUCUUACUUGCAAGGAGGGAACCUGAUGGGAAGUGGUUUGCAAUUCCUCGAGGCUUCAGCAUUCAGGCAUUUGCUCGCUGGAGCAUCUGGCCAUGUGCCGUCACCGCGGAUCGAUACCACGACAUUGAAGGGGCUGAACUCUGAGGGGCAGCCGAUACUAUCCAGGAGGAAUCCGGCCCAAGUAUCAGCCAUAGUCAGGGCGUACGGCUCAAGCUUUUCAGCAUCCGCAUUGGAGGCGAAGGUGAGGCACACCUUGACAAGGCUGCCCUCGCAAUACGGUUCCGGGUUAAGUGGCGACAGCAACCUGGCACCCACACCUUCCGCUUGUGCAAUAAAUUCGUCGACAACCUUAUUGGCUAAGGCACGACACUGAUCGACAGGAAUGUUAAGGCUGAAAACUGAAUUCAGAGGUUGAAUGUAGAGAUAGGUGCAGACCACGCAGGGCGGCACAGGCGAAGGGGAGGGUGUAGGAGGCAAAGGCGACGGUGGGGUGGGCGGAGAUGGAGGCAAGGGAGAGGGUGGGGUGGGCGGGGACGGAGGCUUGGGCGAUGGCGGCGCGGGCGGGGAUGGCGGCUUGGGCGAGGGUGGGGUAGGCGGGGAUGGANNNNNNNNNNNNNNNNNNNNNNNNNNNNNNNNNNNNNNNNNNNNNNNNNNNNNNNNNNNNNNNNNNNNNNNNNNNNNNNNNNNNNNNNNNNNNNNNNNNNNNNNNNNNNNNNNNNNNNNNNNNNNNNNNNNNNNNNNNNNNNNNNNNNNNNNNNNNNNNNNNGGCGAGGGUGGAGUGGGCGGGGACGGAGGCAAAGGCGAGGGUGGAGUGGGCGGGGACGGAGGCAAGGGCGAGGGUGGGGUGGGUGGGGACGGAGGCAAGGGCGAGGGUGGGGUGGGCGGGGAUGGAGGCGAGGGAUAUGGUGGGGUGGGCGGGGAUGGAGGCUUGGGCGAGGGUGGAGUGGGCGGAGACGGGGGCGAGGGAUAAGGUGGAGUGGGCGGGGACGGAGGCUUGGGCGAUGGUGGGGUGGGCGGAGACGGAGGCUUGGGCGAGGGUGGGGUCGGCGGAGACGGAGGCUUGGGCGAGGGUGGGGUGGGCGGGGACGGAGGCUUGGGCGAGGGUGGGGUGGGCGGGGACGGAGGCUUGGGUGAGGGUGGGGUGGGCGGAGACGGCGGCAAGGGCGAGGGCGGAGUGGGUGGUAGCCGUGGAGGGGCCUUGCAGCAUUUAAUGCUCUUGUCAAAGAGGGCGGUCUGACAGACGCCGGGAGCACCGUUCGGCGGGGGCAAGCAGAAUUCAUUCAAAGUAGUGCAACCUUGACGUCCCUUGCUGUUCUUCAAGAAAAGGCAAAUCUCAGCUCCAUUGCUGCUAGUAUUCAGGCCCAGAUUGUUAAUGAACAGAACUUGAGUACCGGG
rnacentral:lncRNA from 1 species